rnacentral:rRNA from 1 species
UACGUAGGUGGCAAGCGUUGUCCGGAUUUACUGGGCGUAAAGAGCGCGCAGGCGGUCGUUCAAGUCGCGUGUGAAAGCCCCCGGCUCAACUGGGGAGGGUCACGCGAUACUGAUCGACUCGAAGGCAGGAGAGGAUCGCGGAAUUCCCGGUGUAGAGGUGAAAUUCGUAGAUAUCGGGAGGAACACCGGUGGCGAAGGCGGCGAUCUGGGUCGAUACUGACGCUGAGGUGCGAAAGCGUGGGGAGCAAACAGG